CUGGCUCAGGAUGAACGCUAGCGACAGGCUUAACACAUGCAAGUCGAGGGGCAGCAUAAAGUAGCAAUACUUGGUGGCGACCGGCGCACGGGUGAGUAACGCGUAUGCAACCCACCUAUCAGGAGGGGAAUAACCCGGCGAAAGUCGGACUAAUACCGCAUAAAACAGGGGCACCGCAUGGUGAUAUUUGUUAAAGAAAUUCGCUGAUAGAUGGGCAUGCGUUCCAUUAGGUAGUUGGUGAGGUAACGGCUCACCAAGCCGACGAUGGAUAGGGGAACUGAGAGGUUGGUCCCCCACACUGGUACUGAGACACGGACCAGACUCCUACGGGAGGCAGCAGUGAGGAAUAUUGGUCAAUGGGCGGGAGCCUGAACCAGCCAAGUCGCGUGAAAGGAAGAAGGAUCUAUGGUUCGUAAACUUCUUUUGCAGGGGAAUAAAGUGCAGGACGUGUCCUGUUUUGUAUGUACCCUGAGAAUAAGGAUCGGCUAACUCCGUGCCAGCAGCAGC
rnacentral:rRNA from 1 species